UACGGAGGGUGCAAGCGUUGUCUGGAUUUAUUGGGUUUAAAGGGUGCGUAGGUGGCCCGUUAAGUCCGGGGUGAAAGCCCACUGCUCAACAGUGGAACUGCCCUGGAUACUGACGGGCUUGAGUCCAGACGAGGUUGGCGGAAUGGAUGGUGUAGCGGUGAAAUGCAUAGAUACCAUCCAGAACCCCGAUUGCGUAGGCAGCUGACUAGGCUGGUACUGACACUGAGGCACGAAAGCGUGGGGAGCGAACAGG
rnacentral:rRNA from 1 species